ACCUUCCUGGGUCUGACCUCGAAGCAUUCAGCAUCCCCUGCCCCUCCGUGCGCUUCCGACAGCGAGUCUGCACAGGCGAGGCUCCUGGGGCAGCCAGGGGGCCCUGCCCCCCAACUCCGCAGUCAGACGUGACUCUCAGCCAGCUGGUAAAACGGGAUUAUUAAUUGACAGGGACACAGCGUAGAACAGAACUCAGGAAGAAACUAGUGAUUUGUUGCUGUGAUGUUAAGUGAGGAAAAGAAAAGUCCAGACUGGAAUCUUUCCCAGAUGGAGGACCGUUUCCUGAUAACUCAGCGUGAUCUAUGGACACACUUAACAAGAAGAGUUCAGACGUUUUCAAGGAAUAAAUGCUGUGGCUUGGUAAAGCACAACUGAGUAAACGUUUUCCACCUGAACCUCAGAAUCAUGAUCAUCCUCCAAGGAAGAGCUGCUUGACAAAUGAACAGUGUGAACAGCUUCUCAGGGAUUCUGUUUGCUGUACACAAAUAGCCAUAAUGUCAGGACUGAUGGCAAUAUGUAGAGCACUCCAGUAUGGUUCUAUUUCAUGUGGACGCGGGAUCACUCAUCUGAAGUUCACUGCUGUUCAGUAACUAGUGUAGAACAAUGUGGUUUCUUUAUUUUUGUAAUGUGCAAAACCAUUUAAUUUUCUACAGUUUAAAGCUUCUAGCAUUAGUGACCACUGAGUGCAAUAUUCUGCUUGGGAGCCCUGCCAAAUAACCCUUGGGUUCUUGGUUUGUUGUCGAUAUGUUCAAGUAUCUAUCACUGUUCUUUUGUCCCUCACACCACAGUGUUAGCUCACCAAGUACACUCCAGGGUAUCCCUGUUGAGCAGCUCACAGGAGUGGCUGCUUCUGGGGAUGUUCUCCCCUCUCCACAGUAAGGAUAUGCUGCCUGAUGUUCAUUGUCCCUGUCUCUCUCCGCUUUCAAGAAACCCAGAAGAACCCCCCAGCCUGAGGCAGAACAAGGUGGUGGCAGCCAGAAGAUGCUAGUUUGGGAAUACCCUCACUUCCAAGUGCCAUGCUUCAGCCACAGCACAAUGGAAAGGAGCAGGGGGACUAGGCAUUCAAGGAAAAUAAUCUGUGGUUAAUCACAGGCCAAGCACCAGUGAGAGUGGUGUCGCUGAGCUCGCGAAAGGUGGGCAGGGAAACAUUUUCAGCCUGCAUGCCCAUCCCUCACUGUCAUACUGUGCUUGGGAGUUAAUGAACUGUCGCAGUCAAGCAGGGUUUUUAAACCACUUGGGUGUCGUGUACCAUGGGCCCUGGGCAGGAGGGCAGGGCACUCUGCUGUUUGAGAAUAUGUUACGAGAGUGUGGUGCGCACUGACUGUAUCGGAGAAGAAUUUAUUUCAAUUAGUGGGGGAUUCAACCCCUUUUAAGUAGGAGGAUAAAUCCCCAGAACCCAUAUUCUCAACCAGAGAGCACAAUUUUGUGCUCACUAACCUGUUUCCAGUCUCCAGGUUGCUGGCUGAUUUGUGUUCUACAGAAAUAGCACAGUUCAGAAGGGCAAACCAAUAAAUCAUUUACCCUUGGGACAACAGUGGGAGGCAGACAACAUCGUUAUUCCUUGGGGUGUGACCAGUAGCAUCUUAUAUUGCAUGUAAAAGCAGAAUCCUAGCACUGAAGAGGUGGUUCCAGUUAAAUGAAGCUCAAAUGCAGCAGUCACUCUGCUUGCUUACUUUGUGUUUUGACAGAAAAUGUGCAUAACUGUGUGUACGUAAUCAGUGAGAGCAUGGAAAGGUGGGAACACUGUCAGUGGAUAUUACUUUAUAUGUCUUGUGUAGUGAGAAAUCUGGAGUAUUCUUGCAGAACUGGAUUGUUGUUGAGCCACGUACAUACCUGUUGUAACUGCACUGACAUCUUUGGAGUUCUUACAAGAGAGGAGUUUGGCUCUAUAGCUCCAGUUUCUGCUGACUGCUUAGCCUAAGGCCAGAGUUGGGCUGCCUAGUCCCUUUUCAAUAUGCAUUGUUCUCUCCAGUUUCGGCCUUUGCUAAAUGCUGUAGAACUCAGUUUUAAAUCUGAAUACAGCUGGAGUCUUAAGAAUUAAUUGGAGUUUACCAGGAGUGUCUGUACUGCAGUCUCUGAAGGCAGCUCAGGGUUUGUGCAACAGGAGUCAGAACUGAAGGAGAUGGUUUCCCUUGGGCAGUUUCCCGGUAAGGUUUUUUGGUAACUGUAAAUCUUGAAAGUAAAGGCAGGUGUGUGUGUUCAGCUUCUCUGGGGACAGUGAGCACGCUUGGUCCCUGCUGUAGUGCUUCUGGUCAGUGGGGGUCAUACCAGGGUGAAUUAUUUUUUUUUGUUGUUACCGAAAGCUGCCAAAGUGGCAAAGCCUGUGCCCAAGUGUGCCAGGCGCUGUGCUGGCAGGGUGCAGGAAAUGUGUGAGAAUGGCUGAAGAAACAGAGUUGGAAAUGCUCCUUCGCUGGGUAGGAACAUUAACCUUCUGUGCAGGAAGCUCCUUUCUGUCUCAUUACCUGGGAGUUGUGCAGCCAGACUCCCAGGGAGCUCAGCUAUUGACACCCCCGGCUGGAUCCUGUUGGGACAGCAUCACUGGAAGAACUGUGUCACGCUCUUCAGGAAAAGGCCAAAGUUCUACUCCAGUAAGCACAAAAGCAGCUAUUCUGUCCAGGCAAGCCUCCUUCCCCCCACAACCAGAAACUGCCCCUUGAAGCUGUUCUGUCUUCUGCUUAUGCCUCUUGUGGUAGAAAAGCCAUGUCCCAGGUUUGUGUCAAGGCACAACCCAAGUGUUUUUCCUUCCUAAAAGGUUCACUUGCUUAUGUUGGACCUGUCCUUAUGAUUUGCACUCUUGAAAGAACAGCAAGUGGUGUUGAUGUAAAGCUGAUGGUGCAGCUACAGUUAUCCAUUAAUCUCCAUAACUGGGUAGAAAUUUACAAAUUAUCCUUGCCAAAAAGAUUGAAAAUAAAUCUGAUCUUAACUUGAAACAAGGCAUCUCUUCCCAUUCAUUUAACUCAGCUCAAAAUGUCCACCACUUUGUUUCCCCAAAAUUGAUUUCUGGCUUUGAAGACCCAGGGCCUAGUUAUAUUUUUGAACUAUGAACAUAAAAGACUGAUGCACACCCUGCAGAAUUGGGAUUUGGUGGUGGAGCUGAGUACUGAGUACUAAUUACUGUGGUAAAAUACAAAUUCAGACAGAUCCUAUAAUUGUAAACACUUGUUCUGUAACACCACGUGUGCCCCUCUAAAGCUCCCAUAGUCUCUGUUCCCAUUGCUAAAUACUAGAGAACAUAUAAACUCGACCUCUUUUUGUUGCUGUUUCUCCAAGUGGCACUCACUCACAGUAAGCGGGGAGAGAGUGACUACACGUACAAUGUCUAAAACUUAAGUUUUUCAUGAAGGAGACAUCAGAGCCACAAAGGAUGGGAGGGAUAAAUUAAUCAGUGAUGAGGUGCUCAGGCAGAGGCGACUGGUAACUGCUGAUAGUGGGAGGGCACAAUUAAAGGUUCUGGUGUCAUGCAGCGGAACUCAGGGCAGGUACUCAAGAUAAAGGAGUUUCGAUUGUAGAGUUACUUUUGGUGUCAUGAUUGCAAUACUACGUAAGAGCAGAUGGAGACAUUUCUAAAAGAGAGCUGCACAUGAAGCAGUUCUGGAUUAUACUGGCAUAUUAUCAAUUUGAAGCAGUUCCAACCAGGGUGCAUGUACCUUGGGGUAUGCAGGUGUCUUCUAGGGGUUACAUCAGCUCAUCUAGAUAUUACUGACAGAACAAGGAGUAAUGGUCCAAGUUGCAGUGG